UCUGGGUACAUCUCUGUAUCCUCCCGCUUCAAAUCCCCAACUUCUGCCUCGCUCCACACACACUGACCCCCCGGGACCACAGGGCCAGGCACUGCAGAGAUGGACACAGUCACUGAGGACUGAGGAGAGAGGGAUGGCUGGGAAGUAGCUCGUGGGAACCUGAACUGGAUAAGCUGGGUAAAUGUCAGAACAAGCUGCAGCUCUUCCCGGACCACGCAGUGGGAGACAGACCAACCUCAUCGCCUUGGCAACCCCUCUGUUCACUCUUCAAAGGACGAGUCAAGGGAGGAGAAGAAAGGCGCUUUUAUGCUCCCGACCUCCCUGCACCCCCUCCCCCAGCCCUCCUCCCACCACGAUGCACUGUUAGCCCAGGCUCUGGCACAUGUGGAUGGGUUCCCAGGCCUCAACUUAAAAAAAAAAUAUAUUCCUUAUCUUACCAGGUGAGUUGACUGAGAAUACAUUCUCACUUACACCAAUGA